GUCCAUGCCGUAAACGUUGGGAACUAGGUGUGGGGGACAUUCCACGUUUUCCGCGCCGUAGCUAACGCAUUAAGUGCCCCGCCUGGGGAGUACGGCCGCAAGGCUAAAACUCAAAGGAAUUGACGGGGGCCCGCACAAGCGGCGGAGCAUGCGGAUUAAUUCGAUGCAACGCGAAGAACCUUACCAAGGCUUGACAUGAACCGGAAAUACCUGGAAACAGGUGCCCCGCUUGCGGUCGGUUUACAGGUGGUGCAUGGUUGUCGUCAGCUCGUGUCGUGAGAUGUUGGGUUAAGUCCCGCAACGAGCGCAACCCUCGUUCUAUGUUGCCAGCGCGUUAUGGCGGGGACUCAUAGGAGACUGCCGGGGUCAACUCGGAGGGAAGGUGGGGACGACGUCAAAUCAUCAUGCCCCUUAUGUCUUGGGCUUCACGCA
rnacentral:rRNA from 1 species